ACUAGAUGUCAACAGUCUUUAGAAAUUGGUUUAUAUUUUUCUUUAGAGAAAUGAAGAAGUAGCCCUGUUAUUUUCCUGUGUCACUCCAGGUUCACUUUAUUGAUUUGGUGCGCAUGACCUAGAACAUGCUUUCUUUAUUUUCGUCCGGUGUUGAACGCUGCUUAUCCCGUCUUCAAUUUGAUCGAUUAUUUAGGUCAAAAAAUACCUAAUGUUGUAUUACGAAAGUUGUUUGAAAUGUGUGGACAAAGAUUACAGGUCAUUUAAGAUUUUGUAGCGUGAGUUGGAACCGUUGUUUUUCUGGAUCAAACGAGCCAAAUAAAUGGACAUUUUGGAUAUAUAACGAAGGAAUUAAUCAAACAAAAGGACCAUUUGUGAUGUUUAUGGGACAUAUUGGAGUGCCAACAGAAGAAGCUCGUGAAAGAUCUAGAGAACCAGUGCAAAGCGUUCAGGGUGAACGCGGCGGACGCCAUGCCUGGCAGUGACUGGACACCGUUUGUGAAGAACCACUCCUACCUACAUCGUGAUUGUAGGAGGGGGCGUGGUGGGCUGGUCCAUCGUCUACUGGCUGAAGCAGAAGAUAAUUCUGGACGGGGUGCUGGUGGUGGAGAGGGAUCCCACUGUUUUAGGUACGCCACGAACACAAUGACUACUGCAGAAGGUGACAAUGUGGAUUUCAGAAGAAUCAAAUAUGCUAAUGCAGGUA